GAUGAAGAACGUAGCGAAAUGCGAUAAGUAGUGUGAAUUGCAGAAUUCAGUGAAUCAUCGAAUCUUUGAACGCACAUUGCGCCCUUUGGUAUUCCUUAGGGCAUGCCUGUUCGAGCGACAUUUAAACCUUCAAGCUCAGCUUGGUGAUGGGCGACUGUCCUCCCCUCGCGGGGGGACUCGCCUCAAAAACAUUGGCGGCCGGUACAUUGGCUUCGAGCGCAGCAGAAACGCGGUCUCGAGCCCGGUGGAUCGGCUCCCAUAAGCCUAUUCUUUUAUUUUGACCUCGGAUCAGGUAGGGAUACCCGCUGAACUUAAGCAUAUCAAUAAGCGGAGGA
rnacentral:misc_RNA from 1 species